rnacentral:rRNA from 1 species
CCUACGGGUGGCAGCAGUGGGGAAUUUUGCGCAAUGCUCGUAAGAGUGACGCAGCGACGCCGCGUGAAUGACGAAGGCCUUCGGGUCGUAAAGUUCUUUCGACAGGGAAGAAAAUGCCUAUAAGUAACUGUGUAUGUAUUGACGGUACCUGUAUAAGCAGCCCCGGCUAACUCCGUGCCAGCAGCCGCGGUAAUACGGAGGGGGCGAGCGUUGUUCGGAGUGACUGGGCGUAAAGAGCACGUAGGCGGUGUUGUAAGUCAUUAGUCAAAGACUAGAGCUCAACUUUAGUAAGGCUAGUGAUACUAUAAUACUAGAGUAUCAGAGAGGAUUGCAGAAUUCCUGGUGUAGCGGUGAAAUGCGUAGAUAUCAGGAGGAACAUCGGUGGCGUAAGCGCUUUACUGGGCCGUAAUUGACGCUGAGGGACGAAAGCCAGGGUAGCAAAUGGGAUUAGAUACCCCAGUAGUC